rnacentral:rRNA from 1 species
AUUGAACGCUGGCGGCAGGCCUAACACAUGCAAGUCGAGCGGAUGAAGGGAGCUUGCUCCUGGAUUCAGCGGCGGACGGGUGAGUAAUGCCUAGGAAUCUGCCUGGUAGUGGGGGAUAACGUCCGGAAACGGGCGCUAAUACCGCAUACGUCCUGAGGGAGAAAGUGGGGGAUCUUCGGACCUCACGCUAUCAGAUGAGCCUAGGUCGGAUUAGCUAGUUGGUGGGGUAAAGGCCUACCAAGGCGACGAUCCGUAACUGGUCUGAGAGGAUGAUCAGUCACACUGGAACUGAGACACGGUCCAGACUCCUACGGGAGGCAGCAGUGGGGAAUAUUGGACAAUGGGCGAAAGCCUGAUCCAGCCAUGCCGCGUGUGUGAAGAAGGUCUUCGGAUUGGAAAGCACUUUAAGUUGUGAGGAAGGGCAGUAAGUUAAUACCUUGCUGUUUUGACGUUACCAACAGAAUAAGCACCGGCUAACUUCGUG